rnacentral:lncRNA from 1 species
AGUUAUCAUAACUAAGUAUUGGAAUAUUUAGUUGAAUUUUUAAGCAAAAUAAAAUCAAUAUUGAAAUCAAGGAGCUUGAACAAUAUUUGUGAAACCUCAUUGUGUAUUGCAAAAUCCUAGAUUUGAACUUCAAAAUAAAUAAUGAUGUAUUGUAAAAUUUUGGUUCAACUAAUCUUACAUCGAUAUAAGUUUCGACGUAGUGUUGAUCUUGGUCCGUAAACACUAAAU